GCAACAGCUGGACCAUCUCUCUGUUAAGCUUUGGGGACUUGCUGGAGGCACAAACACAGAUCAUAAUGGCCUCUUAUUCAAGUUCUCCUCUGCACCCCAGAUACUGACCCUGCCUGCCUGAACAUGGAGUGCAAACACACCCGCACCGACCAAAGGGGGAAAGUGAGUAGAGAUAAGAUUCCAAAUUGGCUAAAGUUAUUGGCCAUGUAUCCUCUCGUAAUUCCAGACACAUGAGGAAACCGGCACAGCAUUGCCACAAUGGAAUGCAAAAUCAAUUUCAGGAAGGAGAGAUUUAUUAUAGUUUACAAGUCCACAGGAUACAAGCUAUCAAGAUUACGGAAAACUCAAUUACCCUGCUGCCUUAGAAGAAUGGAGGUAUUAUGUUAGAAGAAAGACAUACAACUCAGACCCAAAUGGCAUGUGGUAACAGUGGACUCAGACUGACAGUUACAAGUGUAACUUCACUCCUACAACUGCAGCAGACCAGCAAACUAAAUGUGUUUGGAAGAGGACAUGGAUACAAGAAGAUGAUGGAGUGCACACUGAGAACAAUAUGGUUUUGAAUAUGGCUCAGAAGGCCCUGGGUAUUUCAAUUUAAGUUUUGUGGUUAAAUUUUUGCUGAUUGAUCUGAAACACAUUUUGGUUUUGUUGAUUUUUCUAGAUAUUGAUUGAGGGGUUGAUAUGUUCUUACAUUUAACUGUGCUAAUCUGUGAUCAUGAUGACCCAUUUUGUUCAUUAAAAUAUUAUAUAUGCAUAUAU
rnacentral:lncRNA from 1 species